rnacentral:rRNA from 1 species
ACGAUUGACGGAGCGAAGCGACGUCAAAGCGUAUACAAAGUCGAGUCGGUUUAAGGAUACGUUCGUUGGGUAGGGGAGCGUUCUGUAAGCCUGUGAAGGUGGCCUGUGAGGGUUGCUGGAGGUAUCAGAAGUGCGAAUGCUGACAUAAGUAACGAUAAAGCGGGUGAAAAGCCCGCUCGCCGGAAGACCAAGGGUUCCUGUCCAACGUUAAUCGGGGCAGGGUGAGUCGACCCCUAAGGCGAGGCCGAAAGGCGUAGUCGAUGGGAAACAGGUUAAUAUUCCUGUACUUGGUGUUACUGCGAAGGGGGGACGGAGAAGGCUAUGUUGGCCGGGCGACGGUUGUCCCGGUUUAAGCGUGUAGGCUGGUUUUCCAGGCAAAUCCGGAAAAUCAAGGCUGAGGCGUGAUGACGAGGCACUACGGUGCUGAAGCAACAAAUGCCCUGCUUCCAGGAAAAGCCUCUAAGCAUCAGGUAACAUCAAAUCGUACCCCAAACCGACACAGGUGGUCAGGUAGAGAAUACCAAGGCGCUUGAGAGAACUCGGGUGAAGGAACUAGGCAAAAUGGUGCCGUAACUUCGGGAGAAGGCACGCUGACACGUAGGUGAAGUGAUUUACUCAUGGAGCUGAAGUCAGUCGAAGAUACCAGCUGGCUGCAACUGUUUAUUAAAAACACAGCACUGUGCAAACACGAAAGUGGACGUAUACGGUGUGACGCCUGCCCGGUGCCGGAAGGUUAAUUGAUGGGGUCAGCGCAAGCGAAGCUCCUGAUCGAAGCCCCGGUAAACGGCGGCCGUAACUAUAACGGUCCUAAGGUAGCGAAAUUCCUUGUCGGGUAAGUUCCGACCUGCACGAAUGGCGUAAUGAUGGCCAGGCUGUCUCCACCCGAGACUCAGUGAAAUUGAACUCGCUGUGAAGAUGCAGUGUACCCGCGGCAAGACGGAAAGACCCCGUGAACCUUUACUAUAGCUUGACACUGAACAUUGAGCCUUGAUGUGUAGGAUAGGUGGGAGGCUUUGAAGUGUGGACGCCAGUCUGCAUGGAGCCGACCUUGAAAUACCACCCUUUAAUGUUUGAUGUUCUAACGUGGACCCGUAAUCCGGGUUGCGGACAGUGUCUGGUGGGUAGUUUGACUGGGGCGGUCUCCUCCUAAAGAGUAACGGAGGAGCACGAAGGUUGGCUAAUCCUGGUCGGACAUCAGGAGGUUAGUGCAAUGGCAUAAGCCAGCUUGACUGCGAGCGUGACGGCGCGAGCAGGUGCGAAAGCAGGUCAUAGUGAUCCGGUGGUUCUGAAUGGAAGGGCCAUCGCUCAACGGAUAAAAGGUACUCCGGGGAUAACAGGCUGAUACCGCCCAAGAGUUCAUAUCGACGGCGGUGUUUGGCACCUCGAUGUCGGCUCAUCACAUCCUGGGGCUGAAGUAGGUCCCAAGGGUAUGGCUGUUCGCCAUUUAAAGUGGUACGCGAGCUGGGUUUAGAACGUCGUGAGACAGUUCGGUCCCUAUCUGCCGUGGGCGCUGGAGAACUGAGGGGGGCUGCUCCUAGUACGAGAGGACCGGAGUGGACGCAUCACUGGUGUUCGGGUUGUCAUGCCAAUGGCACUGCCCGGUAGCUAAAUGCGGAAGAGAUAAGUGCUGAAAGCAUCUAAGCACGAAACUUGCCCCGAGAUGAGUUCUCCCUGAGACUUAGAGUCUCCUGAAGGAACGUUGAAGACGACGACGUUGAUAGGCCGGGUGUGUAAGCGCAGCGAUGCGUUGAGCUAACCGGUACUAAUGAACCGUGAG